GGGAAAGUGGCUCAGUGGUAGAGUGCUUGCCUUGCAUGCAUAAGGCCCUGGGUUCGAUUCCUCAGCACCA
rfam:Dipodomys ordii contig_51687, whole genome shotgun sequence.